rnacentral:rRNA from 1 species
AUUGAACGCUGGCGGAAUGCUUUACACAUGCAAGUCGAACGGCAGCACGGACUUCGGUCUGGUGGCGAGUGGCGAACGGGUGAGUAAUAUAUCGGAACGUAUCCAAUAAUGGGGGAUAACUAAUCGAAAGGUUGGCUAAUACCGCAUACGUCCUACGGGAGAAAGCUAGGGACCUUCGGGCCUGGCGUUAAUGGAGCGGCCGAUAUCGGAUUAGCUAGUAGGUGAGGUAAAGGCUCACCAAGGCGACGAUCCGUAGCUGGUCUGAGGGGACGACCAGCCACACUGGAACUGAGACACGGUCCAGAAUCCUACGGGAGGCAGCAGUGGGGAAUUUUGGACAAUGGGCGAAAGCCUGAUCCAGCCAUUCCGCGUGAGUGAAGAAGGCCUUCGGGUUGUAAAGCUCUUUCGCAAGAGAAGAAAACUUACCCUCUAACAUAGGGUGAGGUUGACGGUAUCUUGAUAAGAAGCACCGGCUAACUACGUGCCAGCCGCCGCGGUAA